CAAUGGAAAAAUGUUGAGGCUGGAUCCCCUGUCGACUAUUAUCCUGGUGAUAAAGUGAUCCUCACAUUGCGCAUUGAUGUGCAACUCUUUGUUAUGACCAAGCCCUUCUGGCGGUAAUUCAUCUUCGUGGAAGGUGAUCUUAUGGAUUUCCAGUACCUGCCCCACCAUGUUUGCCAUUUCGCCUCCUGUUAUGUUGCUGGGAACAUGAGCUUCACUCAGUAUUUUCAUUAAGGCAUUUUUAUGUGCCUCAGAACUUUGUAGAAGAGCCAAGAUAGAAAUCUGUACUGGCGUUUUGUUCAGUUGCUUGAUGACUGAGUACUCUUUGCCUGUACCUUCCUCCAAAGGUCAUCGGGUCCAGUUUCAAUAGCCCGUCCGGAGGCUUGCUUGCUGGAUUCAGCUAAAUGUUUCGGGAUGUAUACCCUGCCUAUCCUAGUUAUACCCUAUGCGGCAAUUGCUUCUCCAGUAUAUGUAUUUCCUUUCCUUAGCCUCACCGGUGUAAUCCCAAGGUAUAACAUUUGUCUUGAAUGGGGUCACGUCUGUCAUGGAGAUCGGAAUAGGCCCCUUGGGAGGUAACACAGUAACUUCGAAAGGUGCAGACGCCUUUGGAACCCCGAACUCGACCUCAAUUGGUUUUGGCACCUUUGCAAAAGGUGCUUCAAACUCGAGCGGUGCAGACACAUUUACCACAUCGCCCUCAUAGGGCUGAAUCUGAAC
rnacentral:lncRNA from 1 species